AGAGUUUGAUCCUGGCUCAGAGCGAACGCUGGCGGCAGGCCUAACACAUGCAAGUCGAACGAACUCUUCGGAGUUAGUGGCGGACGGGGGAGUAACACGUGGGAACGUGCCUUUAGGUUCGGAAUAACUCAGGGAAACUUGUGCUAAUACCGAAUGUGCCCUUCGGGGGAAAGAUUUAUCGCCUUUAGAGCGGCCCGCGUCUGAUUAGCUUGUUGGUGGGGUAAUGGCCCACCAAGGCGACGAUCAGUAGCCGGACUGAGAGGGUGAACGGCCACAUUGGGACUGAGACACGGCCCAGACUCCUACGGGAGGCAGCAGUGGGGAAUCUUCCGCAAUGGACGAAAGUCUGACGCAGCAACGCCGCGUGAUCGAUGAAGGCCUUAGGGUUGUAAAGAUCUUUCAGAUGGGACGAUAAUGACGGUACCCUCAAAGGAAGCACCGGCUAACUCCGUGCCAGCAGCCGCGGUAAUACGGAGGGUGCAAGCGUUGUUCGGAUUUAUUGGGCGUAAAGCGCGUGUAGGCGGUUUCUUAAGUCUGAUGUGAAAGCCCCGGGCUCAACCCGGGAAGUGCAUUGGAUACUGGGAGACUUGAAUACGGGAGAGGGUAGUGGAAUUCCUAGUGUAGGAGUGAAAUCCGUAGAUAUUAGGAGGAACACCGGUGGCGAAGGCGGCUACCUGGACCGAUAUUGACGCUGAGACGCGAAAGCGUGGGGAGCAAACAGGAUUAGAUACCCUGGUAGUCCACGCCGUAAACGAUGAGUGCUAGGUGUCGGGGGUAUCGACCCCCUCGGUGCCACAGCUAGCAUUAAGUACCCCGCCUGGGAGUACGGUCGCAAGACUGAAACUCAAAGGAAUUGACGGGGGCCCGCACAAGCGGUGGAGUAUGUGGUUUAAUUCGACGCAACGCGAAGAACCUUACCAAGGCUUGACAUCCCGUGACAGCCAUGGAAACAUGGGGUCAGUUCGGCUGGAUCGGAGACAGGUGGUGCAUGGUUGUCGUCAGCUCGUGUCGUGAGAUGUUGGGUUAAGUCCCGCAACGAGCGCAACCCCUACAGCUAGUUGCCAGCACAUAAAGGUGGGAACUCUAGCAGAACUGCCGUUGACAAAACGGAGGAAGGUGGGGAUGACGUCAAAUCAUCAUGCCCCUUAUGUCUUGGGCUACACACGUACUACAAUGGCCUGACAGAGGGAAGCAAAACUGCGAAGUUAAGCGAACCCCUUAAAACAGGUCCCAGUUCGGAUUGUAGGCUGCAACUCGCCUACAUGAAGUUGGAAUCGCUAGUAAUCGCAGGUCAGCAUACUGCGGUGAAUACGUUCCCGGGCCUUGUACACACCGCCCGUCACACCACGAAAGUCGGCAACACCCGAAGCCGGUGACUCAACCCGAAAGGGAGAGAGCCGUCGAAGGUGGGGUCGGUGAUUGGGGUGAAGUCGUAACAAGGUAACC
rnacentral:rRNA from 1 species